CGGGAGGGCGGAGGCGCUGGGGGCUGGGCAGAAUGGGAGCCCUGAGCCCGGAGAGGGGCGGAGGAAGGGAGGGAGGGAGCGGGAAGCGGGGAACUCCCAGCCGGUCCCCAGCGCGGGGUCGCCGAGUGCCCCCUGCGGCUCCGCCACGCCCGCCCGACUGCCGCGCAGCUGACUGUCGGAGUUGGAAAUCGGGCUUAGCGCCUACGCACACUGCACCUAGACGAGCGCCAGCUGCACUCGGGAACCGGCACCCUGUCCCCCGACUCCAGCCCGAACCCCACCCCGGCACUCACCGCCGCCUCCGGGCCUGCUGUUUCAGCUUCCAGUCCCAAGCCGCCGGUCUCCUUCCCACACCUUUAAGAUCUGCCCCGCAGCCGCCUCCCUACCUUCCAACCUUCCUCCCGCCAGCAAAGCCGGUGCCCUCGGCCAAGUGCCCGUUCGCAGCCUGUUAUCAAGUCCUAGAGAGAAUUUCUCCAAAAUAUUUCCCGAAUCCUGCGGCCAAGGGCCCGAGUUCCCGCCCCUCCAUCUUCCGUCUGGAUGCCUGCAGACUUCUCCCUGGAUUUCUAGUCUUUAGCCUCUUCCCCUUCCUAAUCUAUUUUCAACACCAAUUUCCCCCCAAAGCGUGUUAAAGCACACAGGGACCUCGGUGAUUGUAAACCUCGUAUUUCCCCUGUUACUCAGGUUAAGCAUGCUUGGGCUGGGGAAUAAAAACUGAGGGCUUGGGCUCACGUUUAUUGAGCAAGACUUCCUAUACACGUCAUUGUUAAACACUUCAGAUGGAUAUUCUCAUUCAACUGCCAACAAUCCUUCGGGUGCUCUUCUGCAGAAACCUUGACCUUCCCAACGGUGAUGGAAUGACCCACAGUACCAGCUGUAUCCUGGGGGCCAGGUGGCAGCAAAGGAUCUGUUAACAGCAGUACUAAAUGGAUGGGGCAUGUGGAUGUCAGGAAAUGGAAGGGACACAAGAAGGAUUUCCAACUGCUGACUCCAUCAGGCCCUUGAUGGCCUGUGAAAAGGUCCAUUCUCAAAUUCUCAAGGCUCCCAGCUGGCUUAAAAAUGUCAACAAAGAAUCUUUCUACUUAUCAAGUAUUUUAUUUCCCUAUUUAAGCAAGAAGUCUGCAGAGAAGAGGGCCCAAGCUCCCGUUUAAUCUAAGAACCAGGACUCAAGGGUUUCAUGUUGGCAAUUUAGUAACCUGUAUGCAUAGACGCUUCUUUGGAUAAAUCAAAGCUUCCAUGGAAAGUGUCUAAACCCUAUAAAAGUAAUUUAUUUGCUUAUCCACCAAA